GGUCAGGCGGGACUACCCGCUGA
rnacentral:rRNA from 1 species